rnacentral:rRNA from 1 species
CCUACGGGAGGCAGCAGUGAGGAAUAUUGGUCAAUGGCCGGAAGGCUGAACCAGCCAUGCCGCGUGAAGGUCAGUGCCCUAUGGGCGUUAAACUUCUUUUGUGCGGGAGCAAUAAUGGUCACGUGUGGCCAGACGAGAGUACCGUACGAAUAAGCAUCGGCUAACUCCGUGCCAGCAGCCGCGGUAAUACGGGGGAUGCAAGCGUUAUCCGGAUUUAUUGGGUUUAAAGGGUGCGUAGGCUGUGAGGUAAGUCAGCGGUGAAAUGCCCCCGCUCAACGGGGUGAAGUGCAAUUGAUACUGCCUGGCUGGAGUGCGGAUGAGGUAGGAGGAAUGUGUGGUGUAGCGGUGAAAUGCAUAGAUAUCACACAGAACACCGAUUGCGAAGGCAUCUCACGAAUCCGCGAUUGACGCUGAUGCACGAAAGCGUGGGUAUCAAACAGGAUUAGAUACCCGAGUAGUC